AUUGAACGCUGGCGGCAUGCUUUACACAUGCAAGUCGGACGGCAGCACAGAGAAGCUUGCUUCUUGGGUGGCGAGUGGCGAACGGGUGAGUAAUAUAUCGGAACGUACCGAGUAAUGGGGGAUAACUAAUCGAAAGAUUAGCUAAUACCGCAUAUUCUCUGAGGAGGAAAGCAGGGGACCUUCGGGCCUUGCGUUAUUCGAGCGGCCGAUAUCUGAUUAGCUAGUUGGUGGGGUAAAGGCCUACCAAGGCGACGAUCAGUAGCGGGUCUGAGAGGAUGAUACGCCACACUGGGACUGAGACACGGCCCAGACUCCUACGGGAGGCAGCAGUGGGGAAUUUUGGACAAUGGGCGCAAGCCUGAUCCAGCCAUACCGCGUGUCUGAAGAAGGCCUUCGGGUUGUAAAGGACUUUUGUCAGGGAAGAAAAGGCUGUUGCUAAUACCGACAGCUGAUGACGGUACCUGAAGAAUAAGCACCGGCUAACUACGUG
rnacentral:rRNA from 1 species